UUAAGGUGUGUAUGGAUACAGCUUGGUAACCAGUACAGUGCUUUGAGAUGGUCCCAUCCAACAUAUCCAUAUCCGGUUGGGUUGCUGGCAGAAUUUGGAUGCAGAUUGUUGAAAGGAUUUACUUAUGGUUGGAAUGCAAAAGAAAAGGACUUGGGGUUUUUUUUUUUUUUUUUAAUCCAAAUGUCUUCCUGCAUGCUUAGCAUCAACAAGACUGAUUUGCCUCUAACAGCUCCGGUGAAUUGACCUGGCUCUCCUAUAUAAUAUGUGGAUCACUUCCAAAUUGGUUGAAUCAAUACAGUUGCAUUGAAGCUUCAAUUGCUAGCUGUUGCCCAAGCUUGACAGUACAGAUAUGUGGGCUUUAUCACUACAUGG